rnacentral:rRNA from 1 species
UACGAAGGGGGCUAGCGUUGCUCGGAAUCACUGGGCGUAAAGCGCACGUAGGCGGAUUGCUAAGUCAGGGGUGAAAUCCUGGAGCUCAACUCCAGAACUGCCUUCGAUACUGGAAGACUCGAGUCCGGGAGAGGUGAGUGGAACUGCGAGUGUAGAGGUGAAAUUCGUAGAUAUCGCAAGAACGCCAGUGGCGAAGGCGGCUCACUGGCCCGGU